ensembl:lncRNA
GUCAUAGCCUGGUCUGACAAUGGCAGAAGGUUGUACCUGGAGGAGGCGAGAGAGGACGGAGGAGAGAGAACGCAGGAAUUGAGCGGACAAAUUGAGAAAAGGCCCUAGAUGUCAAAACUCUUCUGUGAAGUUCUCAGGUAGGAUACACACUAUCCUCAAUGAAAGUUUGCUAUCGAGGAGAGGAGGACACUUCCAUCGCCUACUAACGAAUUGACAUCUCCCCUCAACCACCAUCAGUUUCUGGGUCACAGAAGAGAGGAGGACAGAGGAGAAGG